rnacentral:rRNA from 1 species
UACGGAGGAUGCGAGCGUUAUCCGGAUUUAUUGGGUUUAAAGGGUGCGCAGGCGGAGAGAUAAGUCAGUGGUGAAAAACUGCCGCUCAACGGUAGUCUUGCCAUUGAUACUGUCUUUCUUGAGUAUGGAUGAGGUAGGCGGAAUGUGCAGUGUAGCGGUGAAAUGCAUAGAUAUUGCACGGAACACCAAUUGCGAAGGCAGCUUACUGGACCAUUACUGACGCUCAGGCACGAAAGCGUGGGGAUCAAA